rnacentral:rRNA from 1 species
UGCCAGCCGCCGCGGUAAUACGUAAGUCCCAAGCGUUACUCGAAAUUACUGGGUGUAAAGCGUUUGUAGGCGGAUAAGAAAGUCAGAUAUGAAAGACCGAGGCUCAACCUCGUGUUUGUGUUUGAAACUCCUUAUCUAGAAUCAGGGAGAGGUAAGCGGAAUUCUAAGUGUAGGGGUGCAAUCCGUAGAUACUUAGAAGAACACCAAAAGCGAAGGCAGCUUACUGGAACUCGAUUGACGCUGAGAAACGAAAGCGUGGGGAGCGAAGAGGAUUAGAUA